rnacentral:lncRNA from 1 species
UGCAUAAAAAUGACGUCUCGAAUCAGGAAUAACCCCUCAAACAAAAACUACGUGUUACUUACUAAAGCCUCACAGAGCUCUGUUGAUUCAAAUCCCUCCGAACACCUCAGAGAAUAAUUCAUCUUAAUACAGUAUUUUCUGAAGAGGUAUUAUUAAGAGAAAACAUUAUGGAAUUUAUUUUUAUGUAAAAAAAAAAUCACUAGCGGGGAGUUCCCAUCAUGGCUCAGUGGUUAAUGAAUCUGACUAGGAACCAUGAGGGGUUCGAUCCCUGGCCUUGCUCAGUGGGUUAAGGAUCCAGCGUUGCCGUCAGUUGUGGUGUAGGUCGAAGACCCGGCUCAGCUCCCGUGUUGCUGUGGCUGUAGUGUAGGCCCGCAGCUACAGCUCCGAUUAGACCCUCACCCUGGGAACCUCCAUAUGCCACGGGUGCAGCCCUAGAAAAGACCCCCCCCCCAAAAAAAAAAAUCACUAGCGAAGUGAACUUAUGUGUCUUAAAAUGUCAUCAUGAGAAUUUCCUCAGGACACUCAGAGUCACCAGUUUACAUGGGGGUAUUUUUCUCUCAGCAGCGCAAGUAGCAGAAGAAAAUACUUUCUUUUUCUCAUGUUUUCGUCUCCCGAUGUCGAUGCUACUAACAGAAAGAGAAAACAUCUCCCAGUGUGUUGGGCAGAACAACAUCCCCUUAUAAAUGUCCGCCCCCUGAAACCUGGAACCUGUGAAUAUGCUAUAUCUCAGAUGGCCCGAGGGACCCUGUUGGUGCAAUGUGGGUUGUGUACUUAAAAUGGAGAUCAUUUGGGGUUCGGCAGGUGGCCCAAGCAAGCAAAAGAAGAACUUUCUCCUGCUGGCGUCAGAGAGAUGCAGCUUCCGGAAAGGCAGGAGGGGCGGGGCUCUGGGGAGCCCACCAAGGUGCACUGUCGGAGGUCUCCAGGCACUGUUGUGACGUCUUAAUUUUGAGCUUGGGAGACUUUGAGUAGAGGACGCCAUCAAGGCCACUCAGACCUCCAACCUACAGAACCAGAUACUAAAUUUUAAGCUACUCCUGUGUGAUCGUCUGUUAGAGCAGCCAUCAACUAAUAUUUCCACUCAGCGCUUUCUUCUUUCCGUAAAGUGGCACAAGUGAAGUCAGCAGCCCACACACUUGGGGAAUUUGCAGUUCUCUUUGGAGCAGAAGACUGGCAAGUCUUCAUUUGGAGUGAGAAGUAGAGAGAAAAGGAUAUUCACCUGCCCACCUCUUCCCUGAAGCACUCUCAAAGAUGGUCCAUCAAGCAGAUCAAGGAUCAAUGCAUUUUAAAAAGGAAUUCCUAAAAGUCCAUUUUGGGAAUUGUUAGAUAAUCCCAGGACAGAUGAAAUAGACAAUGUUAUGACUGUGAUUCCACGUUUUGAAGGAUAGCUACUGUUAAAAACACAGGUAGUACCUUGAGAGGUAAGCGUGGCUAUUUCAACUGAAUUGAAUUGCAGCCUGUGUUUAUCUGACAUCAAGGAAGAUUCUACUAGGAUGCAUUUCCAGUGUUUUCUCUGAACACAUCAGUCAUUUGGGGGAGAUAGAAAAAAAAAAAAAAAACAGGGAGGCUUUUAUAACACAGGGAUCAAAAGGGGAUAUGUUUUCUUUCUGUAUAUAAAGUAUAACUGAUGUAAUGAAGAUACCUACAGUCAUGCCAAGUAAAUGAACAGUUAGCCCCACAUGCGCAGAGUAGGUUACUAAGGGAAGAAUUACGUAGAGUUGAGAAAGUUAACUAACCCAAAAGACUUCACUUUGCAAUAAUAUGGUUUUGAUUACACCCUUUUGAUGAUGCAGCCGGUGGAGACUCUGGCUCAUCCCUUAGGAGGGGCAGAAAUGAGUCCCCCAAGAAGUCACUUGUUAGGGAAAAGAAGCUACCAGUUAGAGUAACCAUUUGCUAGAUACCGUCUGCAAAGUAGCCAAACGAUUACUUGAAACACAGAGGAAAUCUUGGGUGGGGGUUGAGAAGGCAGCCUUGACUGAGUACAGACCCAAACCAUGAGUUCUUUCUUCCUCAUUCCCUCAUGAAAACAAGAAAGGACAACAGAACCAAAUCCAGGAGAGUAGAAAUUGUGACACUCAAGGCAUCUGGCGUGAAUGUGGUCUUUCCUAAGCUCUGUAUGGGCAGCCUUGCAGGCAGAAGCCCUUGGAGGCAGCUCUGCCUGAGGUUUACCUGACUUCACUGUGGGCAUAUUUCUUGGUACAACAUAUGCUGUACAUUUUUAGACCUUGUAUAUCCACAAGAAACAGAUGCUUCUUGAAAUUACAGACAUGGAGAUUUAUUUUGUUCAAGUCAACAAGGUGAAAUAAAAACAGAGCAUUUUGGGUGAAGUCUUUAAAAUUUUCCAUCACACCAUCUGCAUUCCCAUUCAGUCCCCAGAUUACUUGGGAAAACAGCAAGAUUUCACUUUCAGGCCAAAGUUACUCAAAAUCAAUUACUUAAACACUUCCCCAGUGGGGAUUAUCUGAACUUGCAAGAACAUGUGUGUCUUUUAAACUUACCAUUUCUUUUCUUCUUUAUAUUUAAAAACAUCUGAAAGAGCUCAAACGUUUAGAAAAGUACUGCGAAUAAGUUACUGAACAGCGUUGUAACUACUAUGCAGCUAUAUUAAAAUUCACCUUUUUUUGGUCAAAUUCGUCGUCAGAUCAUCCGACACAAGAAUUGCUGCAGGGAUCGGAUUGGUCCCAGACAUUGAAUAGACACGUUCAUUUUAUAUUUUAAAAAAGUAUAAAAUUUAUCGGUUUGGGUUCGGCAAUAACUUGGUCUUCUCUGUGACUCCUUCUUUCUAGAGCAAUCACUGUGAGUUGGUUCUGUUUUCUAAGAAGAAAGGAAGGGAAGCUUUCCUGGAGAUUCCUAUAAUGUGGUCUCUUGGAAUUAGAUACUCAGUAUUCCAUCUUUGUCUCCUUGAUCCUCCCUACAUCAAACAUUAUCUUCUUUUACUGAAAAUGAAUCAUUCCUCUUCUCCCACACCCUCCUCCCCUCGUAAUGAAAUAGUCUCGGCUAAGACUGCUAAGAGCUGUAAUACAUCCCUGCCCAUCCUGACGCCAGCAAAGGCUCGCCCCUACUCUCCCUGGCUUUCCUUUGCUGUCUCCCCUUAACGAGCCCCUCCAUCAUCCUCUCCUCCCUGUAAUCGUCACCCACAAACAGAUCCCCGCUGUCAGCGGGCCCAUCAAUUCCCCAAGAGCGUCUCCCUUCCACUCCCGGGCCCCAUUUUUCUUCUUAUCGCCACCAUUUCUAAGCACGCUUUGAAUUCCUUGUUGCCAAAGAAUAUCCCAGAUAGACCCUUAAAAACAACUAAGGGAAGGAAGGCCUUUCUUGAAUGAGGCUCAAACGUCCUCUGAAAAAUACACACUACUGUUUGGGAGUGGUAGCUUGUUUCUGUCAAUGUCUGGCUGCCUUGGCCCACUGGGCCCGGAGAGAGCUAGCAUACUCUGUUACUGAGUACCUCUUUGGUGUAGGCAUUUUACAAAAGAGCAAAGCAGAUUCCUGACACUUCUGUGAAU